CUACGGGGUGCUCCAGUGAGGAAUAUUGCACAAUGGGGGGAACCCUGGUGCAGCAACGCCGCGUGGAGGAUGACGCAUUUCGGUGUGUAAACUCCUUUUAUAUGUCAAGAAAAUGACGGUAGCAUAUGAAUAAGCACCGGCUAACUCCGUGCCAGCAGCGCGCGGUAAUACGGAGGGUGCAAGCGUUACUCGGAAUCACUGGGCGUAAAGGACGCGUAGGCGGGUUGGAAAGUCAGGUGUGAAAUCCUACAGCUUAACUGUAGAACUGCACUUGAAACUUCUAAUCUAGAGUAUGGGAGGGGGAGAUGGAAUUAGUGGUGUAGGGGUAAGAUCCGUAGAUAUCACUAGGAAUACCUAAAGCGAAGGCGAUCUCCUGGAACAUUACUGACGCUAAGGCGUGAAAGCGUGGGGAGCAAACAGGAUUAGAUACCCUUGUAGUC
rnacentral:rRNA from 1 species